AUUGAACGCUGGCGGCAUGCCUUACACAUGCAAGUCGAACGGCAGCGGGGGAGAAGCUUGCUUUUCCUGCCGGCGAGUGGCGAACGGGUGAGUAAUACAUCGGAACGUGCCCUGUAGUGGGGGAUAACUAGUGGAAAGAUUCGCUAAUACCGCAUACGACCUGAGGGUGAAAGCGGGGGACCGCAAGGCCUCAUGCUAUAGGAGCGGCCGAUGUCUGAUUAGCUAGUUGGUGGGGUAAAGGCCUACCAAGGCGACGAUCAGUAGCUGGUCUGAGUGGAUGAUCAGCCACACUGGGACUGAGACACGGCCCAGACUCCUACGGGAGGCAGCAGUGGGGAAUUUUGGACAAUGGGCGAAAGCCUGAUCCAGCAAUGCCGCGUGUGUGAAGAAGGCCUUCGGAUUGUAAAGCACUUUUGGCCGGAAAGAAGUGGCUCUGGCUAAUACCUGGGGUCGAUGACGGUACCGGCAGAAUAAGGACCGGCUAACUACGUGCCAGCCGCCGCGGUAA
rnacentral:rRNA from 1 species